rnacentral:rRNA from 1 species
UACGUAGGGUGCAAGCGUUGUCCGGAAUUAUUGGGCGUAAAGAGCUCGUAGGCGGUCUGUCGCGUCUGCUGUGAAAACUCAGGGCUUAACCCUGAGCUUGCAGUGGGUACGGGCAGACUAGAGUGCGGUAGGGGAGACUGGAAUUCCUGGUGUAGCGGUGAAAUGCGCAGAUAUCAGGAGGAACACCGGUGGCGAAGGCGGGUCUCUGGGCCGUAACUGACGCUGAGGAGCGACAGCGUGGGGAGCAAACAGG